rnacentral:rRNA from 1 species
UGGCUCAGAAUGAACGCUGGCGGUAUGCUUAACACAUGCAAGUCGAACGGGAUGCUUAGGCAUCUAGUGGCGGACGGGUGAGUAACGCGUGAGAAUCUGGCUCCAGGUCGGGGAUAACAGUUGGAAACGACUGCUAAUACCGGAUGUGCCGAGAGGUGAAAGAUUUAUUGCCUGGAGAUGAGCUCGCGUCUGAUUAGCUAGUUGGUGGUGUAAGGGACCACCAAGGCAUCGAUCAGUAGCUGGUCUGAGAGGAUGAUCAGCCACACUGGGACUGAGACACGGCCCAGACUCCUACGGGAGGCAGCAGUGGGGAAUUUUCCGCAAUGGGCGAAAGCCUGACGGAGCAAUACCGCGUGAGGGAGGAAGGCUCUUGGGUCGUAAACCUCUUUUCUCAAGGAAGAAGAAAGUGACGGUACUUGAGGAAUAAGCAUCGGCUAACUCCGUGCCAGCAGCCGCGGUAAUACGGAGGAUGCAAGCGUUAUCCGGAAUGAUUGGGCGUAAAGGGUCUGCAGGUGGAACUGAAAGUCUGCUGUUAAAGAGUUUGGCUUAACCAAAUAAAAGCGGUGGAAACUACAGAACUAGAGUGCGGUAGGGGCAAAAGGAAUUCCUGGUGUAGCGGUGAAAUGCGUAGAUAUCAGGAAGAACACCGGUGGCGAAAGCGUUUUGCUAGACCGUAACUGACACUGAGGGACGAAAGCUAGGGGAGCGAAUGGGAUUAGAUACCCCAGUAGUCCUAGCCGUAAACGAUGGAUACUAGGCGUGGCUUGUAUCGACCCGAGCCGUGCCGGAGCUAACGCGUUAAGUAUCCCGCCUGGGGAGUACGCACGCAAGUGUGAAACUCAAAGGAAUUGACGGGGGCCCGCACAAGCGGUGGAGUAUGUGGUUUAAUUCGAUGCAACGCGAAGAACCUUACCAAGACUUGACAUCCUGCGAAUCCUGGUGAAAGCUGGGAGUGCCUUAGGGAGCGCAGAGACAGGUGGUGCAUGGCUGUCGUCAGCUCGUGUCGUGAGAUGUUGGGUUAAGUCCCGCAACGAGCGCAACCCUCGUUUUUAGUUGCCAGCAUUAAGUUGGGCACUCUAGAGAGACUGCCGGUGACAAACCGGAGGAAGGUGAGGAUGACGUCAAGUCAGCAUGCCCCUUACGUCUUGGGCUACACACGUACUACAAUGCUACGGACAGAGGGCAGCGAGCCAGGGAUGGCAAGCGAAUCCAGAAACCGUAGCUCAGUUCAGAUCGAAGGCUGCAACUCGCCUUCGUGAAGGAGGAAUCGCUAGUAAUUGCAGGUCAGCAUACUGCAGUGAAUUCGUUCCCGGGCCUUGUACACACCGCCCGUCACACCAUGGAAGUUGGUCACGCCCGAAGUCAUUACCCCAACCGAAAGGAGGGGGAUGCCUAAGGUAGGACUGG